CCUGUUCUACUGACACAGCAUGCACUCAUUGGUGCCAGAAGGCUGAUGGCUAGCCGUUUAAAGUUUGAUACCACCUUGUCGUUUCAUGUCCAGAUUGGUAGAUAUAAGAGUUCAUUGUUGAGAUUGGUAUUCUUUCGCAGAGGCAAUAUCAUAGCCUAUGAGGCCUAGCCGAGGCGUGAUCAUUGCUGGUUGAAAACUUUACCCAAUACCCCGCCGAGAUGGCUUGAAAUACAGUCAGCUCUGGCAAUUUUUGACAGCCUCCUAGAAGGCUCAAUGUUCUGUUCAAAAGAAUAGCUGAGUGUCUGGAUCUUGAACAUGCUGCAAUUUGCGCCAGAGUUGUUUCACUAAACAUGCAGCAGGUUGGAUUCACCUGAACCAUGACAAUCUUCAGAAUGUUGUCAGAAAACUUCAGCGGAAGCACCAGGCUCUCUGAAAAAUUGAACGACGAGGAUGGGAUUGAACCCACGCGUGGAUUAGCAGUCCAUCCCCUUAACCGCUUGGCAACCUCGUCAUGAAUUUACCCAGUUUCCUGGUGGGGGCUGUGCUGUGGCAUGUAUGUAAGUAUUUGCAACUAUUUUUGGUAAAUAUGAAAUUAAAUCUUGCAACAACCUCCUUCAAAACGCUAAGAGGGUGAGAGUAAAACAUCUUCCACGAAAGCACUUGGCUCUCUCAAUUGAACGUCAAGGAUGGGAUUUGAACCCACGCGUGCAGAGCACAAUAAGUUAGCAGUCCAUCGCCUUAACCACUCGACCACCUCGUCACGUAGGCUCCCACUUUCCUGAUGGAGCCUGGACUGUGGCACAUAAUUAUUUAUGUAUGUUCCUGCAACCAUCUUCGGUAGAUGACUUUCCAAUUUGCCAUAACAAGCAUGAAGAUGGUGCGAGUAAGAUACCUUCCAUGAAAGCCCCGGCCUCUCCUAAACAAACGACGAGGAUGGGAUUCGAACCCACGCGUGCAGAGCACAAUGGAUUAGCAGUCCAUCGCCUUAACCACUCGGCCACCUCGUCACAUAUGUUCCCACCUUUCUGAGGGAGUCUAGACUGUGGCACAUAUUUGUUUAUGUAUGUUUCUGCAACUAAUUUCGGCCAAAUGACUUUCAAUUUUGCCAUAACAUGCUUCGAAGCACUAAGAGGGUGAGAGUAAGAAACCUUCCACGGAAGCACUGGGCUCUCUUGAAUGAACAACGACGACGGGAUUAAACCGCACACAUGCAGAGCACAAUGGAUUAGCAGGCCAUCGCCUUAUCCACUCGGCCCCCUCCUCUCGCAUACAUGCGCUUUCCUGAUGGAGGCUGGACUGUGGCGUGUACGUAUGUUUUUGCCGCUAAUUUCGCUACAUAUUACAUAAAGUUUUUGCCAUAACGUCCUUUAAGACGCUAAGAGGUGCAAGUAAGAAACCUUAGACAGAAGCAGUGGCCUCUCCCAAAACAACGAGGAUGGGAUUUAAGCUUGCAGAGUACAGCGUACUAACCUAAGCACUCGGCCACCUCAUCAUGCGUAAGCACAACUUUGUGCCAGAGGAAGGUUUAACUUUUAGUUGGACGAGCAACAAGGAUGGGACUCAAACCCGCGCGAGCAGAGCACCAGGGAUUAGCAGUCUUUUACCCUAGCCACUCAGCCACCUCGUCUCAGGUUACCUGCUUGUUGUGCAGGAAGUUGGACUUUGUUGUUUCUUGGGGGUUCUUACGAAAAAGAUGCAGCUAAAGCUUGUCAUAAGGAGCUUUUCAAUAGCUCGAAUCAGUGCCCCAUAGUUAUUGUUCAACAUUGACUUCAAUGUGUUUCUUCCGCUUUUGUUGGAGAGAAACUAGACAAAAUGCCUGAGUCUAAAAACGGCAGCAUAGCUGACCCUGGAUUUGUGUGCAAAUAUGAUUUCAGUGCCCUUGCAUGCUUCAUUAUUUUACCCCAAUCCCUGCACAGCCCAGUAAAUGCAUCCCAAUCUCAGCCAUUUUCUCGGCCGUUCAGCGUUGUGACUCCGCCCCCUUUACCACAUUACCCACAGUUCUCUUCUCCCAGAUUCACAAAAGUAGUGUAAACUUUUCUUUAAGUUAAAAUGAAACAGUGUAUAAGUAAUUCUUUUUAGGCAUUUCAAUAACCUGUUCUACUGACACAGCAUGCACUCAUUGGUGCCAGAAGGCUGAUGGCUAGCAGUUUAAAGUUUGAUACCACCUUGUCGUUUCAUGUCCAGAUUGGUAGAUAUAAGAGUUCAUUGUUGAGAUUGGUAUUCUUUCGCAGAGGCAAUAUCAUAGCCUAUGAGGCCUAGCCGAGGCGUGAUCAUUGCUGGUUGAAAACUUUACCCAAUACCCCGCCGAGAUGGCUUGAAAUACAGUCAGCUCUGGCAAUUUUUGACAGCCUCCUAGAAGGCUCAAUGUUCUGUUCAAAAGAAUAGCUGAGUGUCUGGAUCUUGAACAUGCUGCAAUUUGCGCCAGAGUUGUUUCACUAAACAUGCAGCAGGUUGGAUUCACCUGAACCAUGACAAUCUUCAGAAUGUUGUCAGAAAACUUCAGCGGAAGCACCAGGCUCUCUGAAAAAUUGAACGACGAGGAUGGGAUUGAACCCACGCGUGGAUUAGCAGUCCAUCCCCUUAACCGCUUGGCAACCUCGUCAUGAAUUUACCCAGUUUCCUGGUGGGGGCUGUGCUGUGGCAUGUAUGUAAGUAUUUGCAACUAUUUUUGGUAAAUAUGAAAUUAAAUCUUGCAACAACCUCCUUCAAAACGCUAAGAGGGUGAAAGUAAAACAUCUUCCACGAAAGCACUUGGCUCUCUCAAUUGAACGUCAAGGAUGGGAUUUGAACCCACGCGUGCAGAGCACAAUAAGUUAGCAGUCCAUCGCCUUAACCACUCGACCACCUCGUCACGUAGGCUCCCACUUUCCUGAUGGAGCCUGGACUGUGGCACAUAAUUAUUUAUGCAUGUUCCUGCAACCAUCUUCGGUAGAUGACUUUCCAAUUUGCCAUAACAAGCACGAAGAUGGUGCGAGUAAGAUACCUUCCAUGAAAGCCCCGGCCUCUCCUAAACAAACGACGAGGAUGGGAUUCGAACCCACGCGUGCAGAGCACAAUGGAUUAGCAGUCCAUCGCCUUAACCACUCGGCCACCUCGUCACAUAUGUUCCCACCUUUCUGAGGGAGGCUAGACUGUGGCACAUAUUUGUUUAUGUAUGUUUCUGCAACUAAUUUCGGCCAAAUGACUUUCAAUUUUGCCAUAACAUGCUUCGAAGCACUAAGAGGGUGAGAGUAAGAAACCUUCCACGGAAGCACUGGGCUCUCUUGAAUGAACAACGACGACGGGAUUAAACCGCACACAUGCAGAGCACAAUGGAUUAGCAGGCCAUCGCCUUAUCCACUC